rnacentral:rRNA from 1 species
UACGUAGGGGGGCUAGCGUUGUCCGGAAUCAUUGGGCGUAAAGCGCGUGUAGGCGGCCCGGUAAGUCCGCUGUGAAAGUCGGGGGCUCAACCCUCGGAUGCCGGUGGAUACUGUCGGGCUCGAGUACGGAAGAGGCGAGUGGAAUUCCUGGUGUAGCGGUGAAAUGCGCAGAUAUCAGGAGGAACACCGGUGGCGAAGGCGGGUCUCUGGGCCGAUACUGACGCUGAGGAGCGAAAGCAUGGGUAGCGAACAGG